GUAUAAGUGGUGUAGUGGUUUGAGUGUUGGACUAGCACUCUUGCAUACCAGGGUUCAAAUCCCUGCUCAGCCA